UACAGAGGGGGCAAGCGUUAUUCGAAAUUAUUGGGCGUAAAGGGCGCGUAGGCGGCCUGGCAAGUGGAAGGUGAAAUCCCUCGGCUUAACCGAGGAACUGCCCUCCAAACUGCUUGGCUUGAGACCGGGAGAGGUGAGUGGAAUUCCCAGUGUAGCGGUGAAAUGCGUAGAUAUUGGGAGGAACACCAGUGGCGAAGGCGGCUCACUGGACCGGUACUGACGCUGAGGCGCGAAAGCGUGGGGAGCAAACGGG
rnacentral:rRNA from 1 species